rnacentral:rRNA from 1 species
GACGAACGCUGGCGGCGUGCUUAACACAUGCAAGUCGAACGGAAAGGCUCCAGCUUGCUGGAGUACUCGAGUGGCGAACGGGUGAGUAACACGUGGGUCAUCUGCCCUGCACUCUGGGAUAAGCCUGGGCAACUGGGUCUACUACUGGCUAUGACCUUUCUCCUUAUGGGGUUUGGUGGAAAGUUUUUCGGUGUAGGAUGAGCCCGCGGCCUAUCAGCUUGUUGGUGGGGUGAUGGCCUACCAAGGCGACGACGGGUAGCCGGCCUGAGAGGGUGAUCGGCGACAUUGGGACUGAGAGACGGCGCAGACUCCUACGGGAGGCAGCAGUGGGGAAUAUUGCACAAUGGGCGGAAGCCUGAUGCAGCGACGCUGCGUGAGGGAUGACGGCCUUCGGGUUGGAAACCUCUUUCAGCAGGGACGAAGCGUAAGUGACGGUACCUGCAGAAGAAGCACCGGCUAACUAUGUG